CCUACGGGUGGCAGCAGUGAGGAAUAGUGGUCAAUGGCCGAGAGGCUGAACCAGCCAAGUCGCGUGAGGGAAGAAUGUCCUAUGGAUUGUAAACCUCUUGUGUCAGGGAGCAAAGUCACCCACGUGUGGGAGUUGGAGAGUACCUGAAGAAAAAGAAUCGGCUAACUCCGUGCCAGCAGCCGCGGUAAUACGGAGGAUGCGAGCGUUAUCCGGAUUUUUUGGGUUAAAAGGGUGGGGAGGCGGGUUAUCAAGUCAGCGGUAAAAUCGUGGAGCUCAACUCCUACCAGCCGUUGAAACGGCUGAUCUUGAGUGGGCGAGAAGUAUGCGGAAUGCGUGGUGUAGCGGUGAAAUGCAUAGAUAUCACGCAGAACUCCGAUUGCGAAGGCAGCAUACCGGCGCCCGACUGACGCUGAAGCACGAAAGCGUGGGUAUCGAACAGGAUUAGAUACCCUAGUAGUC
rnacentral:rRNA from 1 species